UACGAAGGGGGCUAGCGUUGCUCGGAAUCACUGGGCGUAAAGGGCGCGUAGGCGGUCGGAUAAGCGUGCGGUGAAAGCCCGGGGCUCAACCCCGGGUCGGCCGUGCGGACUGUUCGACUGGAGCACUGUAGAGGCAGGUGGAAUUCCGGGUGUAGCGGUGGAAUGCGUAGAGAUCCGGAAGAACACCGGUGGCGAAGGCGGCAUCCUGGACCGGCAUUGACGCUGAGGCGUGAAAGCCAGGGGAGCAAACGGG
rnacentral:rRNA from 1 species